AAGAAAAAUGAUUGGGUAGUUCUGGGAUGUUGUGCUCUGCCUGCGCUUAAUUGCGCGGUGGUUGCGUGAUAUCUGUUAACAGACUAUCUUACCAACACACGUGUAGUCUCUACUAUAUGCUUUUCUUCCUGGGCUGCUUUUAGGCUCAGGGACCAAACACAAACAAAACUUUUGAAAACUAGUCAAUAUAACUAUUUCAUUAUAGAAAUAAAAAUCUUCA